GUUGACCCAAGUCCUAGUUGAACUAGGACUAGUUUUUCCUUGCACUUGGCUUAUCCAAUAAAUCAAUUGGACUUGAUCCAAUCCAGUCCAAACUAAAUCUAAUUAAAUUAUAUUCAAUUAGACUUAAUCAAAUUAAGCCAAUUAGCAAUCAAAUUGCUAAUCGAUCCUCCUGCAACACUUGCACUAGGUUAAAUGUCAAUCGUAUUGAUCGUUUAACUCUAGAACGAUUCUUAAUCGUUGAUCAACCAUCUGAUCGGAUCGUGAACUC
rnacentral:lncRNA from 1 species